CCUACGGGUGGCAGCAGUGGGGAAUCUUGGACAAUGGGCGAAAGCCCGAUCCAGCAAUAUCGCGUGAGUGAAGAAGGCCUUAGGGUUGUAAAGCUCUUUCACCGGUGAAGAUAAUGACGGUAACCGGAGAAGAAGCCCCGGCUAACUUCGUGCCAGCAGCCGCGGUAAUACGAAGGGGGCUAGCGUUGCUCGGAAUGACUGGGCGUAAAGGGCGCGUAGGCGGUUUAUGCAGUCAGAUGUGAAAUCCCCGGGCUUAACCUGGGAACUGCAUUUGAGACGCAUAGACUAGAGGUCGAGAGAGGGUUGUGGAAUUCCCAGUGUAGAGGUGAAAUUCGUAGAUAUUGGGAAGAACACCGGUGGCGAAGGCGGCAACCUGGCUCGAUACUGACGCUGAGGCGCGAAAGCGUGGGGAGCAAACAGGAUUAGAUACCCGUGUAGUC
rnacentral:rRNA from 1 species